rnacentral:rRNA from 1 species
GACGAACGCUGGCGGCGUGCCUAAUACAUGCAAGUCGAGCGCAGGAAGCCGUCUGAACCCUUCGGGGGGACGAACGGUGGAAUGAGCGGCGGACGGGUGAGUAACACGUAAAGAACCUGCCCAUAGGUCUGGGAUAACCACGAGAAAUCGGGGCUAAUACCGGAUGUGUCAUCGGACCGCAUGGUCCGCUGAUGAAAGGCGCUCCGGCGUCGCCCAUGGAUGGCUUUGCGGUGCAUUAGCUAGUUGGUGGGGUAACGGCCCACCAAGGCGACGAUGCAUAGCCGACCUGAGAGGGUGAUCGGCCACACUGGGACUGAGACACGGCCCAGACUCCUACGGGAGGCAGCAGUAGGGAAUCUUCCACAAUGGACGAAAGUCUGAUGGAGCAACGCCGCGUGAACGAUGAAGGCUUUCGGGUCGUAAAGUUCUGUUGUAAGGGAAGAACAAGUGCCGCAGGCAAUGGCGGCACCUUGACGGUACCUUGCGAGAAAGCCACGGCUAACUACGUGCCAGCCGCCGCUGUAAUAC